GAUGAAGAACGUAGCGAAAUGCGAUAAGUAAUGUGAAUUGCAGAAUUCAGUGAAUCAUCGACUCUUUGAACGCACAUUGCGCCCGCCAGUAUUCUGGCGGGCAUGCCUGUUCGAGCGUCAUUUCAACCAUCAAGCCCCAGGCUUGUGUUGGGGACCUGCGGCUGCCGCAGGCCCUGAAAACCAGUGGCGGGCUCGCUGUCACACCGGGCGUAGUAGAUUUUAUCUCGCUCUGGGCGUGCUGCGGGUUCCGGCCGUUAAAAAACCCUUUUAACCCAAGGUUGACCUCGGAUCAGGUAGGAAUACCCGCUGAACUUAAGCAUAUCAAUAAGCGGAGGA
rnacentral:misc_RNA from 1 species